AAGUGGAGCAUCCAUGAGUACAGCGGCGUACGGGUGAGUAACACGUGGAUCAUCUGCCUCUUAGUGGGGAAUAACCCUGGGAAACCGGGGCUAAUACCGCAUAAGCCUGAGAAGGGAAAGCAAGCAAUUGCGCUGAGAGAGGAGUCCGCGGCCGAUUAGCUAGUUGGUGGGGUAAAGGCCUACCAAGGCGACGAUCGGUAGCCGGCCUGAGAGGGCACACGGCCACACUGGCACUGAAACACGGGCCAGACUCCUACGGGAGGCAGCAGUGGGGAAUCUUGCACAAUGGAGGCAACUCUGAUGCAGCGACGCCGCGUGAGCGAUGAAGCCCUUCGGGGUGUAAAGCUCUUUCGGCAGGAACGAUAAUGACGGUACCUGAAGAAGAAGCUGCGGCUAACUACGUGCCAGCAGCCGCGGUAAUACGUAGGCAGCGAGCGUUGUUCGGAAUUACUGGGCGUAAAGAGUGUGUAGGCGGUGCUCUAAGUUCGGUGUGAAAUCUCCCGGCUUAACUGGGAGGGUGCGCCGGAAACUGGAAUGCUCGAGCGUGGGAGAGGAAAGCGGAAUUCCUGGUGUAGCGGUGAAACGCGUAGAUAUCAGGAGGAACACCGGUGGCGAAGGCGGCUACCUGGACAGAGUCUGACGCUGAGGCACGAAAGCUAGGGGAGCAAACAGGAUUAGAUACCCUGGUAGUCCUAGCCCUAAACGAUGGAUACUUGCUGUGACUGGGAUUGAAUCCAGUCGUGGCGAAGCUAACGCAUU
rnacentral:rRNA from 1 species